GCCUGGCUAGCUCAGUUGGUAAAGUGUCCAACUUUGGCUCAGGUCAUGAUCUUGCGGUUCGUGGGUUUGAGCCCCAUGUCAGGCU
rnacentral:tRNA from 1 species